GACGAACGCUGGCGGCGUGCUUAACACAUGCAAGUCGAGCGGUAAGGCCCUUUCGGGGGGUACACGAGCGGCGAACGGGUGAGUAACACGUGGGUGACCUGCCCUUAGCUCUGGGAUAAGCCUGGGAAACUGGGUCUAAUACCGGAUAUGACUCCAUAACGCAUGUUGUGGGGUGGAAAGCCUUGUGCGGCUAGGGGAUGGGCCCGCGGCCUAUCAGCUUGUUGGUGGGGUGAUGGCCACCAGGCGACGACGGGUAGCCGGCCUGAGAGGGCGACCGGCCACACUGGGACUGAGACACGGCCCAGACUCCUACGGGAGGCAGCAGUGGGGAAUCUUGCGCAAUGGGCGAAAGCCUGACGCAGCGACGCCGCGUGGGGAUGACGGCCU
rnacentral:rRNA from 1 species